rnacentral:rRNA from 1 species
AGGACGAACGCUGGCGGCGUGCUUAACACAUGCAAGUCGAGCGGAAAGGCCCUUCGGGGUACUCGAGCGGCGAACGGGUGAGUAACACGUGAGCAACCUGCCCUUAGCUCUGGGAUAGCUCCGGGAAACCGGAAUUAAUACCGGAUAUGAUGCCGGCCGACAUCGGCUGGUGUGGAAAGUUUUUUCGGCUAGGGAUGGACUCGCGGCCUAUCAGCUUGUUGGUGGGGUAAUGGCCUACCAAGGCGACGACGGGUAGCCGG